UGACACCAAAUUUUAGACUUCCAGCACAUAAAGAGUGUCAGAAUCUAUUUUUCCUUUUCUAGUAAUAAUCUUUUUUUUUAUAACCCAAAAAUCCUCGAGAGCCAGUGGUAUACGGUUUGCAACCUGGUGGAUAGUUGGCCUACCCCUCUGCCCUUCUCUUUUAAUAUGAGGCAGGGUUUAACCAGUGAUGUCCACCUAACCUAUACACCACGUACUGCCCUUUUACCACUACCAAAACUCUUGGGGGCUCUUAUACAACAACAACAACCCAGUAUAAUUCCACUUAGUGGGGUCUGGGGAGGGUAGUGUGUCGUAGACCUUACCCCUACCCUAGGGUAGAGAGGUUUCCAAAUAGACCCCCGGCAUCCUUGCCUCCAAGAACUUCCCACCUUGCUCUUGGGGAGACUCGAACUCACAACUUCUCGGUUGGAAGUGGGGGGUUCUUACCAUCANNNNNNNNNNNNNNNNNNNNNNNNNNNNNCACCUUGCUCUUGGGGAGACUCGAACUCACAACCUCUCAGUUGGAAGUGGGGGUUGCUUACCAUCAGAGCAACCCCUCUUGUCGGGGCUCUUAUCUAAUAACAAAAUAAAAUUUACUUAUAAAAAAAUCGAUCAAAUUUUUCUUCUUAUUUGAGUAGGAUGUCCAUACAAAACCAAAAUAGUUGAAAAUCUAAAAACCUCUGUCCAUUUAACUGGUUUCAUGAUGAACAGACUUUCCUAUGAAGUUGUUAAUGUGAGAUAUUAUGAUGUUUUAACAGAUCCUGGCAUAUUGGGGGGUUGGGGGAGUCAGUUAUUCCCUUAUAGGGUUGUUUGGCUUACAACUGGGAUUAUAGUGUGAGCAUUAUAAUAUGGAGAUUAAAUAUAAAAAAAAAAUUAUUUACUUUUUUCAGUAGAUGUCUGGUUUAUUGGAUUAACAAUUGGAUAUACGGGAUAUAGUAUAAAACAUAUUUUUUAGUUUACACUACAUAAACUUGGGGGGACGUCACCCAUCGGAUAGGAGCGGGGUGGUCAAAGUGGAGGCUUGCUUCAGGGGUCCUN
rnacentral:lncRNA from 1 species